AAUAGAUACCCUGGUAGUCCACGCCGUAAACGAUGAGUGCUAAGUGUUAGAGGGUUUCCGCCCUUUAGUGCUGAAGUUAACGCAUUAAGCACUCCGCCUGGGGAGUACGGCCGCAAGGCUGAAACUCAAAGGAAUUGACGGGGGGCCCGCACAAGCGGUGGAGCAUGUGGUUUAAUUCGAAGCAACGCGAAGAACCUUACCAGGUCUUGACAUCCUCUGACAACCCUAGAGAUAGGGCUUCUCCUUCGGGAGCAGAGUGACAGGUGGUGCAUGGUUGUCGUCAGCUCGUGUCGUGAGAUGUUGGGUUAAGUCCCGCAACGAGCGCAACCCUUGAUCUUAGUUGCCAUCAUUAAGUUGGGCACUCUAAGGUGACUGCCGGUGACAAACCGGAGGAAGGUGGGGAUGACGUCAAAUCAUCAUGCCCCUUAUGACCUGGGCUACACACGUGCUACAAUGGACGGUACAAAGAGCUGCAAGACCGCGAGGUGGAGCUAAUCUCAUAAAACCGUUCUCAGUUCGGA
rnacentral:rRNA from 1 species